AUAAUUAUUGUCGAACAUUUUGUUUUCGCAUUUCAUUUCUUAACAACAAGUUGCAAAAACCACAUUUCGAGAUAAUAAAAUUAUAUCUACUAGUCUGGCUACUGUGAUAAAAAAAAAAACAUUAAUCCACAAAUUAAUAAUCAAAAUGACACAACAGCAGUGUUGAAUACGAAUUGUUUAAAACUUUCAAGUCCAGUUACCUUUUAUACAUUGUUAUAUUUUAUACAUACGAUGUUCACAUUUAAUGAGUUCCCAGUGGAAAAUCGUGGCUUACUAGACGGGACAAUAGUUCUUCAUCGUGGACAUCGUUCCAGAUUGUUCCUAAGGAACGUGGAUCUCCAUGAUGACCUGGAGCUUGACUAAGUCAGCUAGUCGGCGCGGCUUUAUGGCAGAAAAGCGGAAGACACAGUUACGGAUCAACAAGAUGGACUAUUAUUAGAAUACCAAAUGAACAGCCAAUAAUAUUAUAGAUAAUUUGGUCUUUUAAUAUGAAACACAAUUGUAACUUAGAUCACACAGCCAAUAUCAAAUUACCUUGGCUCUAACUAAUAACUCAUUACGUGAUUUACGCCUUCUCCAAACAUUGGAAUAUUAGUGGCUAUUCAAAUUAAUCCAAUUGCUAAUUUAGUCUUGUAAACAGUAAUACUGACUACAAUAUCAGGAGACUAGGUGUCUUUGUUAAAAUCUUUCGUUUUCUCAUACUCGUUCUUGUCUCGCAUGUCUUUAUUCCAACCACAGUAGAAUUUCCUAUUUUAGGAUCAAAAUCAAUACCUCAACUAAUCAUAAUUAAAUAAUAUAUCUAUAGA